GAAAUGCGAUAAGUAAUGUGAAUUGCAGAAUUCAGUGAAUCAUCGAAUCUUUGAACGCACCUUGCGCUCCUUGGUAUUCCUUGGAGCAUGCCUGUUUGAGUAUCAUGAAAUCUUCAAAGUAAAUCUUUUGUUAACUCAAUUGGUUUCUACUUUGGUAUUGGAGGUCUUUGCAGCUUCACACCUGCUCCUCUUUGUUCAUUAGCUGGAUCUCAGUGUUAUGCUUGGUUCAACUCGGCGUGAUAAGUUAUCUAUCGCUGAGGACACUGUAAAAGGUGGCCAAGGUAAAUGCAGAUGAACCUCUUCUAAUAGUCCAUUGACUUGGACAAUACUUUUAUGAUCUGAUCUCAAAUCAGGUAGGACUACCCGCUGACCUUAAGC
rnacentral:misc_RNA from 1 species